rnacentral:misc_RNA from 1 species
GAUGAAGAACGUAGCAAAAUGCGAUAAGUAAUGUGAAUUGCAGAAUUCAGUGAAUCAUCGAAUCUUUGAACGCACAUUGCGCCCGCCAGUAUUCUGGCGGGCAUGCCUGUUCGAGCGUCAUUUCAACCCUCAAGCACAGCUUGGUGUUGGGACUCGCGUUAAUUCGCGUUCCCCAAAUUGAUUGGCGGUCACGUCGAGCUUCCAUAGCGUAGUAGUAAAACCCUCGUUACUGGUAAUCGUCUCGGCCACGCCGUUAAACCCCAACUUCUGAAUGUUGACCUCGGAUCAGGUAGGAAUACCCGCUGAACUUAAGCAUAUCAAUAAGCGGAGGA